AGAACGAACGCUGGCGGCGUGGAUAAGACAUGCAAGUCGGACGGGAUUACCUUUGGUAGCAAUACAGGGUGUGGGCGCGUGGCGAACGGGUGCGUAACACGUGGAUAACCUUCCUUGAGGUGGGGAAUAACCCAGUGAAAUUGGGCUAAUACCGCAUAACAUCGCGAUGGCACAUGCUGAUGCGAUCAAAGGCGCAAGUCGCCACAAGAGGGAUCCGCGGCCGAUUAGCUUGUUGGCGAGGUAAUGGCUCACCAAGGCAAUGAUCGUUAGC
rnacentral:rRNA from 1 species